AACGAACGCUGGCGGCAUGCCUAACACAUGCAAGUCGAACGAGACCGUCGGGUCUAGGUGCGCACGGGUGCGUACCGCGUGGGAACCUGCCCUUAGGUUCGGAAUACCUCCCCGAAAGGGGUGCUAAUACCGGAUAAUGUCUUCGGACCAAAGAUUUAUCGCCUUUGGAUGGGCCCGCGUUGGAUUAGCUAGUUGGUAGGGUAAAAGCCUACCAAGGCGAGGAUCCAUAGCUGGUCUGAGAGGAUGAUCAGCCACACUGGGACUGAGACACGGACCAGACUCCUACGGGAGGGAGCAGUGGGGAAUAUUGGACAAUGGGCGAAAGCCUGAUCCAGCAACGCCGCGUGAGUGAUGAAGGCCUUAGGGUUGUAAAGCUCUUUUACCCGGGAUGAUAAUGACAGUACCGGGAGAAUAAGCUCCGGCUAACUCCGUG
rnacentral:rRNA from 1 species